rnacentral:rRNA from 1 species
CGCAUCCUUCGGGGUGAGUGGCAGACGGGUGAGUAACGCGUGGGAACGUGCCCUUCAGUUCGGAAUAACCCAGGGAAACUUGGGCUAAUACCGGAUACGUGCGAGAGCAGAAAGAUUUAUCGCUGAAGGAUCGGCCCGCGUCUGAUUAGCUAGUUGGUAGGGUAAUGGCCUACCAAGGCGACGAUCAGUAGCUGGUCUGAGAGGAUGAUCAGCCACAUUGGGACUGAGACACGGCCCAAACUCCUACGGGAGGCAGCAGUGGGGAAUAUUGGACAAUGGGCGCAAGCCUGAUCCAGCCAUGCCGCGUGAGUGAUGAAGGCCUUAGGGUUGUAAAGCUCUUUCGUCCGGGACGAUAAUGACGGUACCGGAAGAAGAAGCCCCGGCUAACUUCGUGCCAGCAGCCGCGGUAAUACGAAGGGGGCUAGCGUUGUUCGGAAUCACUGGGCGUAAAGGGCGCGUAGGCGGCUUUGUAAGUCGGGGGUGAAAGCCUGUGGCUCAACCACAGAAUUGCCUUCGAUACUGCAUGGCUUGAGACCGGAAGAGGUUAGUGGAACUGCGAGUGUAGAGGUGAAAUUCGUAGAUAUUCGCAAGAACACCAGUGGCGAAGGCGGCUGACUGGUCCGGUUCUGACGCUGAGGCGCGAAAGCGUGGGGAGCAAACAGGAUUAGAUACCUGGUAGUCCACGCCGUAAACGAUGAAUGCCAGCCGUUGGCGAGCUUGCUCGUCAGUGGCGCAGCUAACGCUUUAAGCA